rnacentral:rRNA from 1 species
CCUACGGGUGGCAGCAGUCGAGAAUCAUUCACAAUGGGGGAAACCCUGAUCCUGCGACGCCGCGUGCGGGAAUGAAGCUCUUCGGAUUGUAAACUCCUUUCAUGUGGGAGCAACUCAAAAAGCUAGUACCACAAGAGGAAUAGCCGGCUAACCCUGUGCCAGCAGUCGCGGUAAUACAGCGGGCUCAAUCGUUGUUCGGAUUCACUGGGCGUAAGGUGUGCGUAGGCAGUUUCGUAAGUUGUGUGUGAAAGGAGCGGGCUCAACCCGCGGACGGCACCGGAUACUGCGAGACUAGAGGAAUGGGGAGGGAAGCGGAAUUCGCGGUGUAGCAGUGAAAUGCGUAGAUA